rnacentral:rRNA from 1 species
AUUGAACGCUGGCGGCAUGCCAUACACAUGCAAGUCGAACGGUAAAGGGUCCUUCGGGAUGCCGACGAGUGGCGAACGGGUGAGUAAUAUAUCGGAACGUGCCCAGUAGUGGGGGAUAACUGCUCGAAAGAGCAGCUAUUACCGCAUACGACCCGAGGGUGAAAGGGGGGGAUCGCAAGACCUAUCGCUAUUGGAGCGGCGGAUAUCAGAAUAGCUAGUUGGUGGUGUAAGGGCCUACCAAGGCAACGAUCUGUAGUUGGUCUGAGAGGACGACCAGCCACACUGGGACUGAGACACGGCCCAGACUCCUACGGGAGGCAGCAGUGGGGAAUUUUGGACAAUGGGCGCAAGCCUGAUCCAGCAAUGCCGCGUGCAGGAAGAAGGCCUUCGGGUUGUAAACUGCUUUUGUCAGGGAAGAAAUCUUCUGGGCUAAUACCCCGGGAGGAUGACGGUACCUGAAGAAUAAGCACCGGCUAACUACGUGCCAGCCGCCGCCGUAAAAC